CUUAGGCCCAAGUCCUUAGAGGCAGUGCCCUAUUUCUCCCAAGGUCAGACCUUGGAAGGAUUUCUUCACCUUGUUCUGUCCUAGGGUGGUGGUGACAGCGAAGGAGGUGUGGGAAAGGUGGGUGGGGGAAUUCCAGUUCAAAUGAAGUCGUUUAAAAGAAGUCAUUUCCAUAAAACCCAGCUCAAAAUAGAGACAGUCAUUCUAUACUUGCUCAAAUUUUGUCCCCUUCUGUCCAUCCCCCUCACCUCCUGCCACUCCCUACCACACAUCCCCAAGGGCAGAAGGGGAACCUAGGGCUUGACUUAGCUCCUGGCCUGUGCAGGCUGCUCUGGGGGACCACAUGGUCACAGCUCCUCCCACUCUGAAUACCACUUCACUGAGGAUCUUCUUCCCAACAUGCAGUUUUCAGAAUCUUUCAGGAACCUGCUUCAGUUUGAAAGUUUAUUUACCAGUGAAAUGAAUUUCUCUUUUUGCUCUCCCUCCCCUCCUCCCAGUACCCAUGUGAUAAAGUUACAGAAGGCAUCUCAGAUUCACAACAGCCCCUACCAGCCCCCCACUGAAUAACACAUCGUCUGGCAACAGGAGGCGUUUGAUUACAUUUAGAUGGAACGCCUGCAUCAACUCCAGUUGUCCCUGAAUUGGAACUGAUGGGCCUCACGUGCUGCAGCCAACAGUUUGCUUUCACCCACUCCCCUUUCUGAAAUGAACCUUUCUCUGGGAAAACAAGAAACCUACGUGCCAUCCUGGGUGAGAGACGAACAGGAGCCGUGUCCCGACAUUGCAUCCCAGGCACGGCAGGCAAGAGCACACUCUGGAGUUUCCAACAGCAAGCCACACUUCAUGCAUCUCCAGAGGGAGCCUCUGAACCAAAUACCCUCCCCAAAGAAGGGAGAAAUCCAAGAUUCAAAACCAGACAUCCUGGUUCCAAAGUCAGCACUCUUUCCCUCUCUGAGGUGUGUUCUUCAAGGAGCAAGUUUCAUCC
rnacentral:lncRNA from 1 species